rnacentral:rRNA from 1 species
CGGUGCAGCAGGCGCGAAAACUUUACAAUGCUGGCAACAGCGAUAAGGGGACCUCGAGUGCCAGGAUACAAUCUUGGCUGUCGUAAUGCCUAAAAAGCAUUGCAUAGCAAGGGCCGGGCAAGACCGGUGCCAGCCGCCGCAGUAACACCGGCGGCUCGAGUGGUAACCGCUAUUAUUGGGUCUAAAGGGUCUGUAGCCGGCCGGAUAAGUCUUUUGGGAAAUCUGGCAGCUUAACUGUCAGGCUUUCAGAAGAUACUGUUUCGGCUCGAGGCCGGGAGAGGUGAGAGGUACUUCAGGGGUAGGGGUGAAAUCUUGUAAUCCUUGAAGGACCACCAGUGGCGAAGGCGUCUCACCAGAACGGUCCUGACGGCAAGGGACGAAAGCUAGGGGCACGAACCGGAUUAGAUACCCGGGUAGUCCUAGCCGUAAACGAUACUCGCUAGGUGUCGGCCACGGUGCGACCGUGGUCGGUGCCGUAGGGAAGCCGUGAAGCGAGCCACCUGGGAAGUACGGCCGCAAGGCUGAAACUUAAAGGAAUUGGCGGGGGAGCAC